ACUUAAAUAGUUUAAAGAAAAUAUUGAUUUGUGGUAUCAAAGAUAUAUAAUAGUAUUUUAGGUU
rnacentral:tRNA from 1 species